rnacentral:rRNA from 1 species
UUAAAUCGACCGCCUGGGGAGUACGGCCGCAAGGUUAAAACUCAAAUGAAUUGACGGGGGCCCGCACAAGCGGUGGAGCAUGUGGUUUAAUUCGAUGCAACGCGAAGAACCUUACCUGGUCUUGACAUCCACAGAACUUUCCAGAGAUGGAUUGGUGCCUUCGGGAACUGUGAGACAGGUGCUGCAUGGCUGUCGUCAGCUCGUGUUGUGAAAUGUUGGGUUAAGUCCCGCAACGAGCGCAACCCUUAUCCUUUGUUGCCAGCGGUCCGGCCGGGAACUCAAAGGAGACUGCCAGUGAUAAACUGGAGGAAGGUGGGGAUGACGUCAAGUCAUCAUGGCCCUUACGACCAGGGCUACACACGUGCUACAAUGGCGCAUACAAAGAGAAGCGACCUCGCGAGAGCAAGCGGACCUCAUAAAGUGCGUCGUAGUCCGGAUUGGAGUCUGCAACUCGACUCCAUGAAGUCGGAAUCGCUAGUAAUCGUAGAUCAGAAUGCUACGGUGAAUACGUUCCCGGGCCUUGUACACACCGCCCGUCACACCAUGGGAGUGGGUUGCAAAAGAAGUAGGUAGCUUAACCUUCGGGAGGGCGCUACCAC